rnacentral:rRNA from 1 species
UACGGAUGAAGCUAGUGUUACUCAUAUUUAAUGGGCGUAAAGGGCACGCAGAUGGACAAAUAAAUUUUUUAACAAAUACUGAGUCUUAGGCUUUGUUGUUAAUUUUGGUUGUUUGUCUUGGGUUUUUAAAAGGUAAACGGUAUGGUUGGAGGAGCGUUAACAUGUUAUGAUACUAAUCGGACCACCAGAGGCGAAGGCGGUUUACUUGGAUUGACCGACAUUGAGGUGCGAAAGCGUGGGGAGCAAACAGG